rnacentral:tRNA from 1 species
GCGCUUGUAGCUCAGGGGGAGAGCGCCUGCUUGACACGCAGGAGGCCCGUGGUUCAAAACCACGCAGGCGCACCA